ensembl:lncRNA
UAGUAUAUUUUAGUAUUAUUUUAUUUCAUUGCUUUUUUCUUAUUUGACAAUAUGGCCGGUCCAGACCCAAAGACAAAAUAAAAACCAGUGUUUACAAGUACGAGUUCUGUACAAUUGACCAGUGACGCACACCAGUUUAGCUUACAAUAUAGCAACAUUAGCAGAUUUACACAACAGUUAAAAUAGAUUGUGUUUAGUUUAUACACAUUUUUAACCCAUUGUUAUCCAGAUAUGUAACCACUGAUAUUGCAGUAGAAACAUCUGGGCAGAAUAAGGUAAAAAUGGUUUCAGAUUUUGGUGCUGUGCAAAUAUGCUAUUCACCAUCACACCAGUAUAUCAUGCUAUACUGGCACAUAUGUUCCACCUGUACAUUUCACAAAUAGUCUGUCAAAAUACACAAAGAACCGUGUGCUGUGCAUUUCAGUGAUUAGUGUCUCACAGACAAGUUCCAGUUUUGUGGCUCCACAUUUGAUACGUGAUGUUUCCCUGUUGUUUUGGUGAUUCAAGGCAGGGACAUUUGGGUUCACCUGAUGUUGGGACGGUUAGCACAAAGGUAAGACAGGUGGUACCUGGAGCUCUCUUUGGAGACAUUAGCAGAUACUGAGCCUGUAUAUGUCACUGGCACCAAACAAUAAUAUAAAAAUGUGUUCUUAGAUAAAUAUAAAGUGGCUCAUGAUAAUACAUAGAUUAGUGAUUUCAGCAAUAUCGGUCCUGUACUUGAGUAUACUGUAGUUGCAAUUAGGGCUGCUCAACUUAUGUACUGUCAAAUGUUAACUUGCAUGGGAAAUAACUGACUUAAUAAAAACCCAUUAUAGCAGUGGUUCUCAAACUUUUCCCAUCAAUACCACCUAAGACAAUAUUUGGCCUUCCGAGUACCACCAUGUCUAGCACAGGAUUAUUCUAAGUAUAAACUAUGACUAAAUCAGGUUUAAAAUAGGACUACUCCAUUGCUAUACUAGCUGUAAACAAGAACUAGCCAAAAAUGCAUCAAAUUAUUUAACUGCAGCGGAAUCCGCGUACCAAAUGGAGAGGCUUGUGUGCCAUUGUACCAU